rnacentral:rRNA from 1 species
AUGGAGUACCAGCCCAUCAUCUCGGCGCUCGAUGCGCGAACAGAACUGGUCUCCGUCGACAUCCUAUUCUCCAUGGUGGCAAAUUUCGAUUAGCGAGUCGAGAUGUUCCAUGGUACAAACGCCGGAUCCUUCAAAUCAUCGGCGAACGCUGCAUCCCAUGGUCGCCAGGGAAACACCAAAAACUACCAAAACCAGCGG